CUGAGGAAGGUUUGUCUUGGUAAAUGUUCUGUGAGCGCAGAAUAAAAGAAUCUUAUUCUGCUGUUUGGUGGUGGAGUGUCCUGUGAAGUCAAUCAGUUAGAGAAGGAAGACUUUGACUUCUGGCUCAAAUGGAAUAAUAGUGACCAGAUUUACCCUCCUGCCUGGUACAAACAAAAGUCCCGAAGAAACAAGACAAAAUAUAACAGUGAGUCUCAUAUACACCUGACAGCGGAGGACAGAGACCUAAGAGACUGGAGAAACCAAGGUGAGUCCUGCAGUUGCCCUGACUUACCAUCUGGAUGAAGCUGACAGUCUGCACAACAGGGAGCAGGGCCCGGGCAGGCGCGGCAAUUUCUCUGAGGAGCUGGUUGUUCAAGAGCAUGGAACUCCUCCCAUCACUCCCUCUUGCUCCCUCUCUGAUCACACAACACACUGGUUCCCCUUGCCUUCUGCCAUGAGGAAAAGUUCCCUGAGGCCCCAACCAGAGGCAGAUGCUGGCACCAUGCUUCCUGUACAGCCUGCAUAACUGUGAGCCAAAUAAACCUCUUUUCUUUAUAAAUUACCCAGCCUCAGGUAUCCCAUUAUGGCAACACAAAAGGGACUAAUACUUAGGCCAUUUAAAAAUAU
rnacentral:lncRNA from 10 species